GGCGGGGGGAAGGGGGUCCUUAGCCCAGAUUGUGAAAGGACGCAGGCCAGGCUGAGGGACCCCACCGGUGCACA
rnacentral:pre_miRNA from 1 species